UCAUAAGAAGAUAAAGUUUUCCUAAUCUUUCUUGAAUAUGGGCAUUUACAACACAGAAGAUAUACAUGAUAAUAAAACAACCAAACAUAUACAUGAUACGGCUGCAAUGACUAAUAUAGCUUCCUUUGAAUGUAGGUGUCGCAUAGUACAUAAUAGUCGAGGUAAGUAAGUUUUACUCUGAAAGUGGAACGUGGGUGUAAAAUCUAUCACAAAUAAGUUCUGCAGACACUCUCGCACUUCGCUACAACAUAAAAAUACGGACAAACAUACUGACUUGCUUGUAACUUUAUAGGUUAUCUUCGCUAGGUAUAUAAAGAAGCUGUUGUAAGGUUCGGACGCGGCCGGAAAAAAUACGUAGAUUGUGCCAGGCGCUGUUACACGCCCCCACUGAAUCAUCCUCCACAUUUACACCGUCAUCGGAUGAGCUACAACGAAAAGGCUUUAUCAUCCUCGCAAACGUGACAUUACUUCGCAAGACUUCAUAGCUCAAUUUCGAUGAUACACACUCUUUGAACCUGAGGGAAUAAUAAAUCAUCAGCAGGUUGUUGAACUUUCGAUAAAUAACUGAAUAAACCUAUGUGGUAACGCUGGUGUGGUUGCUAUGGUGACCAUGACAUCAUCUACCCUUUCCUCUUUCCGCUCCCUUCCUCCUGUACCACUUGACAAUCCUCGGUCCUCCUCUACGCCGUCACCUCUCCAUUUUAUAUCAGACUGAUUAUAUUUCUUCCUCCUCCUCUUCUUUUUCUUCUUCCUUCCCUGUGUGCAGAGGUCAACACAGCAACGCGGUGACUCACCCACCCGAGCUAUCCCUCCGAACCUUAUUACUUCGUUCAGAUAAACAGUGGUUCCUUUUCUGGCUUGCCGGCCUCUUCUUUUUGUCUCCUAUAUAGCUUCUAUUAGCGCUGAGGGAAUUUCUUGGGGAUUUAGGGGUUAACUAACUUGUCGAUGGGUAAUAGUAGUGGUAAUAAUAGUAGCUUUAGGUAUAUAUACGUGGCGUUUUAGUAGUAGUAAUAGAAACAGCGGUAGUAAUUAAAAUGAGAAUCGUAGAUGGGAAUAGGCCUACGGCAAUGCAUAAUAGAUAUUCCCGCCAACCUGAGAGAAAAAAAAAGGAACGCCAAGAUAUGCCUUCAUUUUCAAACUGACGUAUGAUACGUGUUUCCGGUUUGAGAGACAAAACUUACUCGGCAGUCCAAGUAAAGAAGACAAUGGAGAAAUAAACAGAACUGAAGGAAGACGCCACUUGGAACACAGGCGGACAGAAAUAGCGAUGAGAGCAUGCGAUAUGGGGGAGCUUGCCUGCGCGCGCCCUAGAUUCGUGCAAACAAGUUUGCACGCCUCGUUCCCUCCGGGAACAUCCCCCUAGGACAGUGGUUCCCAACUUUUUUUUUUUUCAGGCGACCCCAAUCAUGCACCUCUAGACAUGACUGCGACCCCACUAGUUUAGUUGUAUAUGUGUUAUAAUAUAAUACCAUGUUUGAUAUUUUGAGGUCUUGGGGACCCCAGGAAAAAUGCUUAACGACCCCAGGGUUGGGAAAGGGGGCUCUAGGGGGUGGCCACGGCAGAAAAGCCGUAGUACUAUUAUUACUAUUAUUCUGUAUUACUUUUGUUUAUAUAUUAUUGAUUAGUAGAUUUUGUUUCACAAUAUUCACAGUAUAUGAGAAGCUUAUAUUUUUUGUGACAUAAUAUGGAACAAUUUUAUAGCAGUCACAAUAUAAACACUGUCAAUUUCAUUUUACUUCCAAAAUCAUACAUAUUGUGUUUAUGAAGUUUUGUUAAUGUGUAAGAAAAUAGUCAUUCAGUUUUGAAGCAUGUAUAAAUAAAUAAAGUUAAGUUGAAUUGUUUGAUUAUUAUUCAUAUAACUUUGAGAUAUGUAUGGCCGUUGAUAUUGGGCUUUAGGCAAUUCAACAGAAAAUGAACGCCAGAGAAAACUCGCGAUAUGCUGUAUGUACUUUUUAAAUACUAACAUCACUGUUUCAUUGGAGGACAGAGGUAUGGGUAUACUCGUAUAAUGUUGAAGACUGCCUCUGCUUUCUGUUUUUCAGUGACUAUGUCAAAAGCCCUUUAUCAGUGGUAAUGCACCAAAUAUAUGCAAGAUAUCCCCAUAAAUUCAAUGGCAUGCCCAUGCAAUACCCAUAUGGAUCCCACCCAUAUCCCACAUUUAACCCACUUGGGCAACCCACCUGAAACCCACAUGAAUCCCGUGGCCAAAUUUAUCUGGGCCCCAUGUGGGCAGCCCACAUGGGGCCCAUAAAGUAGCCCACAAAAGACCCACGUGGGUCCCAUCAUCCAGUGCUGGCUGGGUGCAUGUUUGUGGGGGUGUCGGUCUUGUUCUGAAGGCUGUCAAUUGUAUGAUUCCUGCUGUGAUUGUCUUUAGUUGGAUGGGAUUAAUUUUCCAUUAAUGAGAGAAAAAAAUACCAGGCAUCAGACCACAUAGCAUUUUGAUCAGACGUUGAUGAAAGAGAAUGACAACCCAUAGGAAAGUAGUUCGGAAAGCAAAGGUUAAUGCUAGUGUCAAAAUAAAGCUUUAGAGAUGUCUAGGGAAUUGCAUAAGUUUUAGCGAAACGGCUAUGAAAGACAAUAUAGGAAUCAGGGAAGACGUCAUUAGUAGAAUAUUCUUGUGGAGUCCUUACUGGCGAUCAGAUCGAGAAGGUUUUAAGUUGAAAUUUCUUGUGAAGGAGUUUCAAAAUUAUUUCUAUUAAAAAAAAAAAGUAAAUGUAUAGGACGGUAGUCUGAAGGAUCAAUUUGCUAUGCCGAAAUGUUUGGUCAUUGCCUUCCUCUAAUAAUAGAUGCUAACCUAACACUAUAAAUUACAUGUGAACUGCUCAGUACUAAUCACUAUCCACCUAACCUUGUUUGAUGAACAGGUAGAGAGUAGAUAUGACUUGUAUCAAACUAAUCUAUAAUUAUACUUAUAAUAGCAUGUGAAUAGAGGAAAACCAAGAAAUAGUUUGUUAAGUUGUGUAUUAUUUUUCAGUUGUAACUCUUUGUCAAGAAAACCAUGUGCACUAACAUUUCUAACCUUCAUUAUAAGUAUGUAACAAUUAUUAUUGUCAGUGGAAGUUAUCACUAACUAGUAACUAGUAAUCUUUCAGAAAAGUUCUGAAUCUGCUAGAGUGGCAGCUAUACAUUGGUUUACAUUUAGGAAUACUGCUAAUUCCUGCUUGCAAAAUGGAAGAUAGUGAUGACAUAAUCCAUAACUAUGAAGUUAUUUUUUUUUUAGUAUAUUGGAAUAAGCUAGAUGGUGAUAAGAUGCAAGUAGAUGACUCAAUUAUUUUUUUGUUUAAUGAAAAGCUGUAAGUGGCCAAACCCUUACAAUGUACCAUGUGUAUGCUGCCACAAUGAUACUCCAAAAUAUUUUGAUUUGAAACUUUUGGACUGGCAUGUUCAAUCUUCAAAAAGACUAACACAUAAACAAUAUACAAGAGGGAUUUGUGCAUGUCACUCAUCUUUUCAAAUGCAAUGACAGACAAAUAUAGAGCAAGUAAAAAUGUAUUUUAACCCCAACCCUUCCCAUACAAAAGUAUAACUCAAUAUUAUUGCUUAUAUAAAAAUAUAUUUACAAGUUGUUUGUUAGAUAUACCUUCCAUGGACGGAUAAAUUGCAUUUGUAUCACUCAGUUAAAUAUUUCGAAAUAUUCAACUUGAAAACCUCCACAUAAACCUUCCAUAGCUUGUGUCCACGGGCAAAUAUGUCAACAGUGUAAGCAACAUUCAAUAGCCUUCUAAUGAAAAAUCUGCCCAAAGGGAGAAACAGGGGAACAAAUUUACAAGUUUAAUUUUUUGUAUAAAGGAAUUCUCUCCUCUGAGAGACUUAAGUUAAAGAAAGCUCUAUAAAAUCUUCAUAAAUUAAUGCCUGACAUUUGAAAGCCCCAAGUAUAGCAAAUAUCUUACAAACACUAAAGAAUACAAGGAAUAGGGUAACAAAAUUUAAAGCAGUUUUGUUCAAUAGUAUAUAAAAUUUUCUUUCAACACUGGAAUGAGUCCAUAAUCUAUUGGCUACACAGACCACAGUUGGUGAAAGUGGUGAUGCACUAAGAAAGGAGUAAGCAAGUGUUAAGUAAAUAUUGGAUAAAAUAUGAUUGCUGGCAUUGCAGCAUUAGUGGGUGAAUUUAAUGCAUACUGGAAAGAGAAGACAAUAUUGUUAACCAAGGAAUCUAAUGAUUAAUAACAUGAUACAAGACCACAGGAAUAAUAGGAAAAAAAUAUACUGAUUGACAACUACAAUGGUUAUUCUAGGAAUAUGUGGUGGAUAGUUAAACUGGUAUUACAGGUACAGAAACAACAGACCAUAAACAUACCCUGUAGGUAUUUGUAAAUAGAGAAAAAAUUAAACACUAUUAUUCAAUGAAUUACAUAUCUGGAAAAAAAAGAAGCUUCCUCAAUUACCCUUACCCUGUAUAGAAUUUAGUAUGAACACAAUUUUUAUCAUGGGUUAGGAAAUCCACCUGUAAUGAUAACAUUACAAUCACUAACCAUAAAACUGUUCCUCUGGUAUGGUAAAUUACAAUGGUAAGUUAAGAUAUUAUUACAGGAAACAAUGAGCAGUAAAAUGGCCACUUAUCAACAGCAAAGAAAAGUGUCUAAAGCAAGAAGUAUCAUUAGCAGCUGCAGCUCAAUGAAGGACAAACAUUGGUACCAAAUAGAUCACCACUUUUCCUUCUGUCUGGUUCAUAAACAGCUGAUAUGUAACAAAUUCAUCAUUAAUCAUCUAAAAGACCAUGUCAAGUGCUGCAUAUAAACAAUUCAAUAUCUUUCAAGAAUAUUUUUCAGUAACAAUAUCCUACUAAUAUUCCAAGUUAAAAUAAAUAAUGCCACUAUGACACUUAAUAAAAGAAACUUAACUACAUAAUGUAAUUGAAAAUAAUUACAAACAUUAUUGAGAAAAAAUACAGAACUGAUCUCUUCUGAUGCUUGCUUCUAAUAGUUUUUUUGAAGGCAGAAGCUAUUUCAAACUCCUUUCCUUAGAAAUACUGAUGAGGGAGAUGAACCAGUUAAAAAGAUGGCCAUGAAAAUAGGAGCUAAUGAUUUUUGCUAUCCAUACACCUUACAUAAUUCACCCCUCUCCUCUUCUCCACCCAUCCAUACUACAGGAAAUAUUUGAGAUUCUGUCUGAUUUACAGGAGGCCAUACUUUUAAACCCAUAUCAUCAACUCCACUUAUAUACUCAGUCAUCUAUACUUUUCCAUUCCCUACAGGCCAUCAAAUCACUAUACAAUCAUUAUAUCAUAAAACUGUUAUAUAUUCUCAUAAAAUGCCUGGUAAAAACACAGAAAAAAAUGUUACAGUUGAGGUAAAAAUGGAAUGAAAUCUGUAAUGCUGCCAUGAUGCAAAAGCAUGUGAAGUACACCAAGUGAGAGAGAAAGAUGGUAAAAAUGAGUGAA